UGGCUUCAGGAUGGAACGCUGGCGGCGUGCCUAAUACAUGCAAGUCGAACGCGCAGCGAGAGGUGCUUGCACCUUUCAAGCGAGUGGCGAACGGGUGAGUAACACGUGGAUAACCUGCCUCAAGGCUGGGGAUAACAUUUGGAAACAGAUGCUAAUACCGAAUAAAACUUAGUAUCGCAUGAUAUCAAGUUAAAAGGCGCUACGGCGUCACCUAGAGAUGGAUCCGCGGUGCAUUAGUUAGUUGGUGGGGUAAAGGCUUACCAAGACGAUGAUGCAUAGCCGAGUUGAGAGACUGAUCGGCCACAUUGGGACUGAGACACGGCCCAAACUCCUACGGGAGGCUGCAGUAGGGAAUCUUCCACAAUGGGCGCAAGCCUGAUGGAGCAACGCCGCGUGUGUGAUGAAGGCUUUCGGGUCGUAAAGCACUGUUGUAUGGGAAGAAAUGCUAAAAUAGGGAAUGAUUUUAGUUUGACGGUACCAUACCAGAAAGGGACGGCUAAAUACGUGCCAGCAGCCGCGGUAAUACGUAUGUCCCGAGCGUUAUCCGGAUUUAUUGGGCGUAGAGAAGAGCGCAGACGGUUGAUUAAGUCUGAUGUGAAAGCCCGGAGCUCAACUCCGGAAUGGCAUUGGA
rnacentral:rRNA from 1 species